rnacentral:rRNA from 1 species
UACGAAGGGGGCUAGCGUUGUUCGGAAUUACUGGGCGUAAAGCGCGCGCAGGCGGCUAUCCAAGUCAGUGGUGAAAGCCCGGAGCUCAACUCCGGAACUGCCAUUGAAACUGUUUAGCUUGAGGAUGAGAGAGGUGAGUGGAAUUCCCAGUGUAGAGGUGAAAUUCGUAGAUAUUGGGAAGAACCCCGGUGGCGAAGGCGGCUCACUGGCUCAUUACUGACGCUCAGGCGCGAUAGCGUGGGGAUCAAACAGG